rnacentral:rRNA from 1 species
CACAUCUAAGGAAGGCAGCAGGCGCGCAAAUUACCCAAUCCUGACUCAGGGAGGUAGAGACAAGAAAUAACAAUAAACCGGCUUAUGCCGGUUUAAUUGGAAUGAGUACAAUUUAAACAUCAUAACGAGGAACAAUUGGAGGGCAAGUCUGGUGCCAGCAGCCGCGGUAAUUCCAGCUCCAAUAGCGUAUACUAAAGUUGUUGCAGUUAAAAAGCUCGUAGUUGGAUUUCUGUGGGGACGGAGCGGCCGGCCGCAACACGCGGUUCGAGCUAGCGCUUUCCCUACAUCCUGCCGCGAACCGUGCUACCAUUAGUUUGGUGGCGCCGGGGAUCGGCUCGAUUACUUUGAGAAAAAUAGAGUGUUCAAAGCAGGCCACAUGCCUUGAAUAAGUUAGCAUGGAAUAAUAACUAAGGACUUCGGUUCUAUUUUGUUGGUGUUCGGGACUGAAGUAAUGAUUGAUAGGGACAGUUGGGGCGGUCUGUAUUCCAAAGCGAGAGGUGAAAUUCUUAGACCUUCGGAAGACAAACAGCUGCGAAAGCGUUCCGCAAGGAUGUUCCCUUUGAUCAAGAACGAAAGUUGGGGGAUCGAAGACGAUCAGAUACCGUCGUAGUCUCAACUAUAAACUAUACCAGCUAGGGAUCGGCCAACGUUAUUCUAUACCGACUUGGUCGGCACCUUAUGAGAAAUCAAAGCAUCUGGGUUCCGGGGGGAGUAUGGUCGCAAGGCUGAAACUUAAAGGAAUUGACGGAAGGGCACCACCAGCCGUGGAGCCUGUGGCUUAAUUUGACUCAACACGGGAAAACUUACCAGGUCCAGACAUAGUAAGGAUUGACAGAUUGAUAGCUCUUUCUUGAUUCUGUGAGUGGUGGUGCAUGGCCGUUCUUAGUUGGUGGAGUGAUUUGUCUGGUUAAUUCCGUUAACGAACGAGACCCCAGCCUGCUAAAUAGCAACUCGUAUCUUCGGAUAUUGGGAUUUGCUUCUUAGAGGGACUUUGUGACUUUAAACGCAAGGAAGUUUGCGGCAAUAACAGGUCUGUGAUGCCCUUAGAUGUUCUGGGCUGCACGCGCGCUACACUGAUGCGUUCAACGAGCAUAAAACCUUGCCAGGCAUGGUUGGGAAAUCUUUUGAAAACGCAUCGUGCUGGGGAUAGAUUAUCGUAAUUAUUAAUCUUCAACGAGGAAUUCCUAGUAAGUACGGUUCAUCAGACCGUGCUGAUUACGUCCCUGCCCUUUGUACACACCGCCCGUCGCUCCUACCGAUUGAGCAAUCCGGUGAAUAAUUUGGACCGAGACAAUUUCUGGUUUCAGGUUUUGUUUUGGAAAGUCUAGUGAACCUUAUUGCUU